rnacentral:rRNA from 1 species
GACGAACGCUGGCGGCGUGCUUAACACAUGCAAGUCGAACGGAAAGGCCCUGCUUUUGCGGGGUGCUCGAGUGGCGAACGGGUGAGUAACACGUGAGUAACCUGCCCUUCACUCUGGGAUAACUUCAGGAAACUGGGGCUAAUAUAGGAUAGGCGAUCCUGCUGCAUGUUGGGGGUUGGAAAGUUUCGGCGGUUGGGGAUGGACUCGCGGCUUAUCAGCUUGUUGGUGGGGUAGUGGCUUACCAAGGCUUUGACGGGUAGCCGGCCUGAGAGGGUGACCGGCCACAUUGGGACUGAGAUACGGCCCAGACUCCUACGGGAGGCAGCAGUGGGGAAUAUUGCACAAUGGGCGGAAGCCUGAUGCAGCAACGCCGCGUGCGGGAUGACGGCCUUCGGGUUGUAAACCGCUUUCGGCUGUGACGAAGCGAGAGUGACGGUAAUGGGUAAAGAAGCACCGGCUAACUACGUG